UGGAAGUAAAAAGUCGUAACAAGGUCUCCGUUGGUGAACCAGCGGAGGGAUCAUUGCUGGAACGCGCCCUAGGCGCACCCAGAAACCCUUUGUGAACUUAUACCUUACUGUUGCCUCGGCGCAUGCUGGCCCCCUCGGGGCCCCCUGGAGACAGGGAGCAGGCACGCCGGCGGCCAAGUUAACUCUUGUUUUUACACUGAAACUCUGAGAAAAAACACAAAUGAAUCAAAACUUUCAACAACGGAUCUCUUGGUUCUGGCAUCGAUGAAGAACGCAGCGAAAUGCGAUAAGUAAUGUGAAUUGCAGAAUUCAGUGAAUCAUCGAAUCUUUGAACGCACAUUGCGCCCUCUGGUAUUCCGGAGGGCAUGCCUGUUCGAGCGUCAUUUCAACCCUCAAGCAUUGCUUGGUGUUGGGGCACUGCUUUUAACGAAGCAGGCCCUGAAAUCUAGUGGCGAGCUCGCCAGGACCCCGAGCGCAGUAGUUAAACCCUCGCUUUGGAAGGCCCUGGCGGUGCCCUGCCGUUAAACCCCCAACUUCUGAAAAUUUGACCUCGGAUCAGG
rnacentral:rRNA from 1 species